UACGUAGGGUGCGAGCGUUAGUCGGAAUUACUGGGCGUAAAGCGUGCGCAGGCGGCUUCGCAAGUCAGGCGUGAAAUCCCCGGGCUUAACCUGGGAAUUGCGCUUGAAACUACGGUGCUGGAGUGCGGCAGAGGAAGGUGGAAUUCCACGUGUAGCGGUGAAAUGCGUAGAGAUGUGGAGGAACACCAAUGGCGAAGGCAGCCUUCUGGGUCGACACUGACGCUCAUGCACGAAAGCGUGGGGAGCAAACAGG
rnacentral:rRNA from 1 species